CUGGCUGUAAUGCUUAUUCUGUCCGGCCCCACCACAUGCUCUCGAUCACAUCAUAGGAUCCAAGUUUUAUGGGUGAGCUUUGGAAACUUUCCCUUACGGCCUUAUCUAAGUUUAUUCCUUUGAAUUCCCGGCAAUGUAAUCAAGAAUGGUAACAAAUCGGAUCGACGUUUGACAGGUUAAUUGAGGGAAGGAGACUCCAAUGGUACCCAUCCUUAUGGUUU
rnacentral:lncRNA from 1 species